UGUGUAGGCGGUUGUUUAAGUUUGGUGUGAAAUCUCCCGGCUCAACUGGGAGGGUGCGCCGAAUACUGAAUGACUAGAGUGCGGGAGAGGAGAGUGGAAUUCCUGGUGUAGCGGUGAAAUGCGUAGAUAUCAGGAGGAACACCGGCGGUGUAGACGGCUCUCUGGACCGUAACUGACGCUGAGACACGAAAGCGUGGGUAGCAAACAGGAUUAGAUACCCUGGUAGUCCACGCCCUAAACGAUGCAUAUUUGGUGUGGGUCAUUCAGUUGAUCCGUGCCGGAGCUAACGCGUUAAAUAUACCGCCUGGGGAGUACAGUCGCAAGGCUGAA
rnacentral:rRNA from 1 species